AUCACAGAGGGGCAGACAAUGCAGUGGCUGAUCAGAGCUUUCCUGAUACCAUCAUGCUUUUUAGAGGCCUCUGCUCUGCCAGCCUGGGAGUCAUCUUCACCCUCAGGCUGGUAGACUCCAGUCUCUUAGGUCAGAAUGGGAUUAGAGACCCGUUCCUGAACCAGUCACACACAGCGGGUGAAACUGCUAUGAUUGGUUUAGACUUAGAGACUGGAAUGGAUGCUGUCCCCAGAUAGCAGAUGACUGGUAGGAAGAUGAGGCAAGUUUGCGGUCCAUUGUCAUGGAUAGUGGAGACAACACUGGGCCAGAAGUGGUAAGACCUGAAUCCAAGACUCAGCUCUGCCACUUGCUAAAUGGGACUUUGAAUAAACCAUUUCUCUGCACUUAAGUUCCUUACCAACAAAACGAGGGAAGUGGCCUACAUGCCUAGAUAUCAACAUUUCAUGUCACGUAGAGAUCUAGCAUCACAAGAAUCCAAGUCAUCCUCUGUUGCCUUUAAGAAAUUAGAAUUAAAGGAAUCAGAAUUGAAGUGAAUCUGACUACACUAAGCCUAUCACUUGUGACAGCCAUGGGAAGAUAUCAUUGGUUGCUGAGGAGCAGAAAUAAGCAGAGACCUAUUGUGUUAGGUUAUCAUUCAUUUCAGACAAAAAGCAGAUCAGCAAGUUUUCAUAUUGCACUAUUUUCAAUGGCUGGAGCAUCAACAUUUUACAACAAGAAAAAAAUUAAAAUUCUUCAACAUUUGGAAAAGAAGUGUUUGUAAAACUUUUCACAUCCAUUCACCAUCCGGAAAAGCAAGGUUUUACAGUGAGGCCUGAUGAUGUCUAGAGUCACCAUGCAUCUUGGAAAAUGACCUCCUAUUUAUUUCUUCUACAGGACACCAUGGUGUUCACCUUUCUACAACUUUACACUUGCUGAGGACAUAUUGUGGAAAAUUAAGAGAAAUAUAUAUGGAUGGCCAAGGCUGUAGAUGGAUGUCCAAGCCUUUUUACUGGGGAAUGUUUUCAGAACAAAAUGAGUUACAGGUUCAAGAGUGAAACCCAACAAAUCUUGGCUCUUUUUUUCUCUACUAAAUUCCAAAUCAAAAGUAUUUAUGGAGUGCUUUUAAUGUGCCACGCACUGGGCUAGAGAUUCAUAAUUUUGAUGGGAAUCUGUGUAUUCAAACUCUUUUAACGUGGAAACCUUGCUUGUGCAAGGUCCUCCCAGAUCUUAUCCUACUUUAUCAAAGCUUGGCUAAAUGCAACAUGUCUUCUCCCCAGUGCCCUGGGUCUCUGUACACGCAGUAAAGUGGUCCUUAGACAUAUGCUGAAAUAGGGCUUAAUUUUCCCCAUAUACGAAUGAGAUAAAUUCUACUACAUGUAGCCAGACUUCGAUAGGGAGAACACCCAAAGUCACUUAAAAUAAAACUACACUUUCAUUUUUGCAAGCCAAAUAA
rnacentral:lncRNA from 1 species